rfam:Brassica oleracea var. oleracea cultivar TO1000 chromosome C9, whole genome shotgun sequence
GGAAGUUAAGAAACUGUUUCUUAAUUUUUAACUAAAAAAGAAUAAAGACUUUAAGAACCGGUUCUUAACUUUUUUAGUUAAAAGUUAAGAAACAGUUUCUUAACUUCC